rnacentral:rRNA from 1 species
GAUGAACGCUGGCGGCGUGCCUAAUACAUGCAAGUCGAGCGAACAGAUGAGGAGCUUGCUCCUCUGACGUUAGCGGCGGACGGGGGAGUAACACGUGGAUAACCUACCUAUAAGACUGGGAUAACUUCGGGAAACCGGAGCUAAUACCGGAUAAUAUAUUGAACCGCAUGGUUCAUUAGUGAAAGACGGUUUUGCUGUCACUUAUAGAUGGAUCCGCGCCGCAUUAGCUAGUUGGUAAGGUAACGGCUUACCAAGGCAACGAUGCGUAGGCGACCUGAGAGGGUGAUCGGCCACACUGGAACUGAGACACGGUCCAGACUCCUACGGGAGGCAGCAGUAGGGAAUCUUCCGCAAUGGGCGAGAGCCUGACGGAGCACCGCCGCGUGAGUGAUGAAGGUCUUCGGAUCGUAAAACUCUGUUAUUAGGGAAGAACAAAUGUGUAAGUAACUAUGCACGUCUUGACGGUACCUAAUCAGAAAGCCACGGCUAACUACGUG